AGAGUUUGAUCAUGGCUCAGGAUGAACGCUGGCGGCGUGCUUAACACAUGCAAGUCGAACGGUGAAGCCCAGCUUGCUGGGUGGAUCAGUGGCGAACGGGUGAGUAACACGUGAGCAAUCUGCCCCUGACUCUGGGAUAAGCGCUGGAAACGGCGUCUAAUACUGGAUAUGAACCGUGGAGGCAUCUUCAACGGUUGGAAAGAUUUUUGGUCAGGGAUGAGCUCGCGGCCUAUCAGCUUGUUGGUGAGGUAAUGGCUCACCAAGGCGUCGACGGGUAGCCGGCCUGAGAGGGUGACCGGCCACACUGGGACUGAGACACGGCCCAGACUCCUACGGGAGGCAGCAGCGGGGAAUAUUGCACAAUGGGCGCAAGCCUGAUGCAGCAACGCCGCGUGAGGGAUGACGGCCUUCGGGUUGUAAACCUCUUUUAGCAGGGAAGAAGCGAAAGUGACGGUACCUGCAGAAAAAGCGCCGGCUAACUACGUG
rnacentral:rRNA from 1 species